CCCAUAUCCAAUAAUUCUUCUCCUCAUUCCGGGUUUCACAAUAUCAUUUACUGACAUAGGUAUGUUUCUUCCAUCCAGUGUUGGUACAUUAAUUGAGCAGCCACACAAUGCCUCUCGUAAACUAAUUUUAGCAGUAUAAAUUAUAUUUGAUCCAUCCCUUUUAAAUUUUGGAUGAUCUUUGUCUUUAAUGAUAAAAACAAUGUCUGCUGGAAUACUAUUUGGUGUUUCAUCUCCUUCUCUUGGAAAAGUAAUUUUGGUGCCUUCUUUCCACCCUUUUUUAAUCUCAAUGGUAAGAAUUUUGUCCUCAGAUCUGUAACUCCUUCCAUCAGCGUUUAGCCUUUUUCGAGAAAUCUUCAUCCGUUUGGUACAACCACUAUAUAUCUCUUCAAGUGAUACUCUAAGUUCAUGAAUAACUGGAGGAUCUUGUUUGAGGCGGGAUGGCCCCACAGAAUUCCUGUCUCUUGGAUAUCCAUUCAUGCUGAAACCAAAGGCACUAAAAGGAUCACCAUCUAUUUCCAUUUCUUCAGAAUCUCUACCACCACCCAUUCGUCUUCCAAAGAAAAUUUCAAAGGGGUUGGACCCUCCGAAAAAUGCAGCAAAUGUAGCAUGAGGAUCGCCAUGAAAGGUGUACCGGAAGGUACCUCCUUGUCCAUCAGUACCUCCUGCUCCUCCUUUCAACCCUUCCUCCCC
rnacentral:lncRNA from 1 species